rnacentral:rRNA from 1 species
GUGGGGAAUUUUGGACAAUGGGCGCAAGCCUGAUCCAGCAAUGCCGCGUGCAGGAAGAAGGCCUUCGGGUUGUAAACUGCUUUUGUACGGAACGAAACGGUCCGGGUUAAUACCCUGGGCUAAUGACGGUACCGUAAGAAUAAGCACCGGCUAACUACGUGCCAGCAGCCGCGGUAAUACGUAGGGUGCGAGCGUUAAUCGGAAUUACUGGGCGUAAAGCGUGCGCAGGCGGUGCUGUAAGACAGGCGUGAAAUCCCCGGGCUCAACCUGGGAAUUGCGCUUGUGACUGCAGUGCUGGAGUACGGCAGAGGGGGAUGGAAUUCCGCGUGUAGCAGUGAAAUGCGUAGAUAUGCGGAGGAACACCGAUGGCGAAGGCAGUCCCCUGGGCCUGUACUGACGCUCAUGCACGAAAGCGUGGGGAGCAAACAGGAUUAGAAACCCGAGUAGUCC